rnacentral:tRNA from 1 species
UAGAGGGUAGUUUAAGUGGUAGUACUAAAAAUUUUGAAUUUUUAAGUAUAGGUUCGAAUCCUUUUCCUCUAG